CUGCGGCAGCGACACUGUGUGUUGUUGGGUAGGGGAGCGUUCUGUAAGCCUGCGAAGGUGGCCUGUGAGGGUUGCUGGAGGUAUCAGAAGUGCGAAUGCUGACAUAAGUAACGAUAAAGCGGGUGAAAAGCCCGCUCGCCGGAAGACCAAGGGUUCCUGUCCAACGUUAAUCGGGGCAGGGUGAGUCGACCCCUAAGGCGAGGCCGAAAGGCGUAGUCGAUGGGAAACGGGUUAAUAUUCCCGUACUUGGUGUUACUGCGAAGGGGGGACGGAGAAGGCUAUGUUGGCCGGGCGACGGUUGUCCCGGUUUAAGCGUGUAGGCUGGUUUUCCAGGCAAAUCCGGAAAAUCAAGGCUGAGGCGUGACGACGAGGCACUACGGUGCUGAAGCAACAAAUGCCCUGCUUCCAGGAAAAGCCUCUAAGCAUCAGGUAACAUCAAAUCGUACCCCAAACCGACACAGGUGGUCAGGUAGAGAAUACCAAGGCGCUUGAGAGAACUCGGGUGAAGGAACUAGGCAAAAUGGUGCCGUAACUUCGGGAGAAGGCACGCUGACACGUAGGUGAAGUGAUUUACUCAUGGAGCUGAAGUCAGUCGAAGAUACCAGCUGGCUGCAACUGUUUAUUAAAAACACAGCACUGUGCAAACACGAAAGUGGACGUAUACGGUGUGACGCCUGCCCGGUGCCGGAAGGUUAAUUGAUGGGGUCAGCGCAAGCGAAGCUCCUGAUCGAAGCCCCGGUAAACGGCGGCCGUAACUAUAACGGUCCUAAGGUAGCGAAAUUCCUUGUCGGGUAAGUUCCGACCUGCACGAAUGGCGUAAUGAUGGCCAGGCUGUCUCCACCCGAGACUCAGUGAAAUUGAACUCGCUGUGAAGAUGCAGUGUACCCGCGGCAAGACGGAAAGACCCCGUGAACCUUUACUAUAGCUUGACACUGAACAUUGAGCCUUGAUGUGUAGGAUAGGUGGGAGGCUUUGAAGUGUGGACGCCAGUCUGCAUGGAGCCAACCUUGAAAUACCACCCUUUAAUGUUUGAUGUUCUAACGUGGACCCGUAAUCCGGGUUGCGGACAGUGUCUGGUGGGUAGUUUGACUGGGGCGGUCUCCUCCUAAAGAGUAACGGAGGAGCACGAAGGUUGGCUAAUCCUGGUCGGACAUCAGGAGGUUAGUGCAAUGGCAUAAGCCAGCUUGACUGCGAGCGUGACGGCGCGAGCAGGUGCGAAAGCAGGUCAUAGUGAUCCGGUGGUUCUGAAUGGAAGGGCCAUCGCUCAACGGAUAAAAGGUACUCCGGGGAUAACAGGCUGAUACCGCCCAAGAGUUCAUAUCGACGGCGGUGUUUGGCACCUCGAUGUCGGCUCAUCACAUCCUGGGGCUGAAGUAGGUCCCAAGGGUAUGGCUGUUCGCCAUUUAAAGUGGUACGCGAGCUGGGUUUAGAACGUCGUGAGACAGUUCGGUCCCUAUCUGCCGUGGGCGCUGGAGAACUGAGGGGGGCUGCUCCUAGUACGAGAGGACCGGAGUGGACGCAUCACUGGUGUUCGGGUUGUCAUGCCAAUGGCACUGCCCGGUAGCUAAAUGCGGAAGAGAUAAGUGCUGAAAGCAUCUAAGCACGAAACUUGCCCCGAG
rnacentral:rRNA from 1 species